AGAUGCUGUCCAUGGGG
rnacentral:misc_RNA from 1 species